AUUGAACGCUGGCGGCAGGCCUAACACAUGCAAGUCGAACGAGGGGCGGACGGGUGAGUAACGUCUGGGACACUGCCUGAUGGCGGGGGAUAACUACUGGAAACGGUAGCUAAUACCGCAUACCAUCGGAUGUGCCCAGAUGGGAUUCGCUAGUAGGUGGGGGAACGGCUCACCUAGGCGACGAUCCCUAGCUGGUAUGCGAGGAUGACCAGCCACACUGGAACUGAGACACGGCCCAGACUCCUACGGGAGGCAGCAGUGGGGAAUAUUGCACAAUGGGCGAAAGCCUGAUAGAGCCAUGCCGCGUGUAUGAAGAAGGCCUUCGGGUUGUAAAGUACUUUCAGCGGGGAUGCGGUACCCGAACAAGAAGCACCGGCUAACUCCGUGCCAGCAGCCGCGGUAAUAC
rnacentral:rRNA from 1 species